GCCUGGGUGGCUCAGUCGGUAGAGCGACCGACUUCGGCUCAGGUCAUGAUCUCACAGCUCGUGGGUUCGAGCCCUGCGUCGGGCU
rnacentral:tRNA from 1 species